rnacentral:rRNA from 1 species
UGGGGAAUAUUGCACAAUGGGCGCAAGCCUGAUGCAGCCAUGCCGCGUGUAUGAAGAAGGCCUUCGGGUUGUAAAGUACUUUCAGUCGGGAGGAAGGUGUCAAGGUUAAUAACCUUGGCAAUUGACGUUACCGACAGAAGAAGCACCGGCUAACUCCGUGCCAGCAGCCGCGGUAAUACGGAGGGUGCAAGCGUUAAUCGGAAUUACUGGGCGUAAAGCGCACGCAGGCGGUUUGUUAAGUCAGAUGUGAAAUCCCCGGGCUCAACCUGGGAACUGCAUCUGAUGCUGGCAAGCUUGAGUCUCGUAGAGGGGGGUAGAAUUCCAGGUGUAGCGGUGAAAUGCGUAGUGAUCUGGAGGAAUACCGGUGGCGAAGGCGGCCCCCUGGACGAAGACUGACGCUCAGGUGCGAAAGCGGGGGGAGCAAACAGG